AGGCUAGUUACUGUGCCAGGAGAACAUGUCCAACUGCCUCUUAAUAACAGGAUGAUAAAGAGAAGGCCAGAG
rnacentral:lncRNA from 1 species